GGGUCCGUGGCGCAGCAUGGAUACGCAUAAGGCCAUAAAGCGCGUCAGCCUUCUAAGCUGAACGUCCUGGGUUCAAAUCCCAGCGGACCCG
rnacentral:tRNA from 1 species